rnacentral:rRNA from 1 species
CGGAGAGGGAGCAUGAGAAACGGCUACCACAUCUAAGGAAGGCAGCAGGCGCGUAAAUUACCCAAUCCUGACUCAGGGAGGUAGUGACAAGAAAUAUCAAUAUAAGACUUUUAUGUCUUGUAAUUGGGAUGAGCGAAACAUAAACCGCUUCUCGAGUAUCAAUUGGAGGGCAAGUCUGGUGCCAGCAGCCGCGGUAAUUCCAGCUCCAAUAGCGUAUAUUAAAAUUGUUGCGGUUAAAACGCUCGUAGUUGGAUAUCUGCUAAGGGGUUCCGGUCCUUCCCAGUGAAGAAUACGCGGAACUCUUCUUGGCAUUUAUUCAGGGAAGGUGUUUGCACUUUGUUGUGUGUCACAUGAUCUGAAUUUUUACUUUGAGGAAAUGAGAGUGUUUCAAGCAGGCUUUCGCCGUGAAUAUGAUAGCAUGGAAUAAUAGCACAGGACCCCUUUCCAAAGCUGUUGGUUUUUGGAACGAGGUAAUCAGAAUAAGGAUAGUUGGGGGUAUUCGUAUUUAACUGUCAGAGGUGGAAUUCUUGGAUUUUUUAAAGACGAACUAUUGCGAAGGCAUCUGCCCAGGAUGUUUUUAUUGAUCAAGAACGAAAGUUAGGGGAUCGAAGACGAUCAGAUACCGUCCUAGUCUUAACCUUAAACUAUGCCGGCUGGAGAUUGGAGUUGUCAGAAUUGUGACAUCUUCAGCAUCCUGAGAGAAAUCGAAGUCUUUGGGUUCCGGGGGGAGUAUGGUCGCAAGGCUGAAACUUAAAGGAAUUGACGGAAGGGCACCACCAGGAGUGGAGCCUGCGGCUUAAUUUGACUCAACACGGGGAAACUCACCAGGUCCAGACAUAGAUAGGAUUGACAGACUGAUAGCUCUUUCUUAAUUCUAUGGGUGGUGGUGCAUGGCCGUCCUUAGUUGGUGGAGUGAUUUGUCUGGUUAAUUCCGUUAACGAACGAGACCUUAACCUGCUAAAUAGUUUCCAGAACUUCGGUUCUCGGGUUACUUCUUAGAGGGACUUUGUGUGUUUAACACAAGGAAGUUUGAGGCAAUAACAGGUCUGUGAUGCCCUUAGAUGUCCUGGGCCGCACGCGUGUUACAAUGACACGGUCAGCAAGUAUUCCCUGCCUCGAUAGAGGUUCGGGUAAUCUUAUUAGUCCGUAUCGUAGUGGGAAUUGCCCUUUGUAAUUAUAGGACAUGAACUAGGAUUUCCUAGUAUAGGUGUGCCAUCAGCGCACCUAGAUUAAGUCCCUGCCCUUUGUACACACCGCCCGUCGCUCCUACCGAUUGUGUGAUUCGGUAAACCUUCUGGACUAGAUGAGCCUUCGAGGCUUAUCUGGGAAGUUAAGUAAACCAUUAUCACUUAGAGGAAGGAGAAGUCGUAACAAGG